UUUUGUCAUUCACAGAAGGAAAAUUGUUUACUCUGGUAUCUUCCUAAGAAACUGUACACUUAAAUUGUUUUGUCUUCAAGGAGAUUCAUAGAAAGGACUCUAACAAGUUUCUGAUAACUUUAAGAUUAUACCAUUAAACUAGGUAAAGGAAGAUUUUCAUGAUUCACUGACUGAGGACAAUCAAAUUCUUCACCACGUAGAACCUAGACAUUGGGUCUUUGGAAAGGACAUCAGAGAAAGACUGCCAUUAAGCUCCAUUGGAAGAGACCAUAUCAAGUUCUUUUCUGCAGCAAACCAUCAGGCUCUCAAGUCUUGGAUCUAUGUCUCUC
rnacentral:lncRNA from 1 species